GGCGGCCGGCGGGAAGGCGGGGCGCAUGGUGGUCGGGCGCAUGGAAGACCGGAGGAAGAGGAUAAGGGAGAAGAAAAAGUAAAAAAAAAAAGAGAGGGGGAUGACAUGUGGGUCUAUUUCUUACACAUGGGGCCCAGUGAAUAGUGAUAUAACGGUAUCUAACGUCAUCCGUUCUCUGUUUUUUUGACUCCACCAACCAAACAAAAAACUAGAACCAACCCAACCCAAACUAAAAAAUGAACCAAACAUAGUAGAAGUUGGAGCCAUCCCCAAAACGAGGAACGGAACCAACCCAACCCACCGCGUCCCGGAACCAAACACACGGUUAGAGCAGCAGCAUUUGAUUCAGAACUGAUCAAAGAUGCAUAUCAUUGAAGUCAAGUACCUAGUUCAUGACCACCAAGGCACCAAAGUUCACGUGAUUCUACAGAUUCUAUGCUGAAAUUCAUAUCUGUCUUUGCAGAAUUACAACUUAACUGAUUCCUUGUUGCCCUGCAGUAUUUGCGUAAUAUGGUUGUAUCCAACUGAAAGUCUUUCUUAAAAAUUAGUUCUGAUCAGUUUUGGUUACUGACUACUAGAAACUGUAAUCCAGGUUUACAAGCAUAAUCUAGGAAAGAAAACUUCACCUACGAACAAAUUCUUACUGAAAUUUUUGUAUGAGAUAUUAAGUCACUUAAUUGUUUGUAUAACUGUUAGAUGCUCUUAGUGCAUUUUCCUGAUUGCUUUAUGAAUCUUGAUUGCUGUUGUUUCGCUGUUUGUAUAACUGUUAGAUAUUAAGUCACUUAAUUGACUUGCAUUUGUCCAGCAGUUGUAUUUUGCAUUUGGCUGGUAACACCUAAUUAUUUCUUGUCACCUAAAAUGGCACGAGCAGAACGAAGGUCGAAGGCAUUGUUCAUUGCAUAUCUGUUAUGUGAUGAAUUGCCUAUGUCAGUGUUCUUGUUUAUAGUGAACUUUUUUUUUGGCACUAUACUCUAAUUGUAAAAAAUCAUGGUAGAUGCUGAAAAUAACAAUGCAUCUCAUGCGUAGACAACUGAGGAAUCCUAUACUAUGAAUGGAGUAGGACUUUGUAAAAUAGCUUGAGACUAGCGUGCUAGCAUUGUAUGGGUUUGAUGUAUCUUGAAGAUUCUUUUGGCUGUUACCUGCAAUAUUGUAUGGGUUUGACUUCUUCCCUCCAUAUUUUUUCAAUUUCCAUGCAAGAAGUUCAUUGUGGUUCUCUGGUAUAUGCUGCAGCUUGAACUAACUAGAUAGUGGAGCUUAAAAAAUUAUUUGUGCUUUUAUAUUUGUAUACUUGUAUACCAUCUCAUUUCCUAAUUUCUAGUUACUUUGAGCUUUUAUUCAGAUUGUACCAGCAGUUCUUAGAAUUGGUGAAGACGAGCCACAUGUGCUGUAUAAGGAAGGUUCUCAUACUCCUGCAUUGCUCCUAUGUUAUAAGUUGGAUUGAUACUGCCCUUUUAGAUGAUCUAAAAUGUCCUAAUACGUUAGAGUAAUUUGGUAGUGCAGAAUGGAUCAUAUAUUACUUGAGACAACAGGUUUGUCUGAUCCUGCACCACUUGUCUCUGUUCUUUGGCUAGACGACCAAUUGGAAUCAUCAAUUAGACUGGAUUCUUUUAUUACGGUUAUUGAUGCAAAAAAUUUCAGGGUUCAGAUUGGCGUUCUUUGUAUAAAGUUUUGCUAGAACUUCGAAGUGGAAUCGUGGCUUGAAGAUCUUCUUUGGGAAAAGAAAUCUAGUAUUGAUAUAUAUCGUUGUAAAGGGAUUUUACAUAUCCAUGACUCCGAUCAAGUUCAUACAUUACAGAUUUUUACAACUUACUCAUACAACAACCAGGAAGGACUGCAUUAUGAGCUAGGGCUAUCAAGCAUUUUUCUGUCAGAUUUCCCCUUAUAAACCCAAUAGCAAGAUAACUGUGUUGUGCAGUUGAUUGAAUAUACUGUUUUAUCACCGCUGAUUACUGAAGUUCCUCCAGCUCCAAGUCAAGGUUCUUAGCAUGAGCCGAUUAGGUGGAGCUGCAGGGGUGGGCCCUCUAGUUGCUAACAUGUCAUCAGAGGAUGCAGGGUUUCUUUGGUAGAGCAAGCUUGAGGCAGGAGACUGAGACCAAAGAGCUUCUAUAUUGUAGAAAGGGCCAAGUCUGGUGUCAAGAAGAACAUGCAACUUAAGCAUUUAGCUUGUGUUUGGGUAAAGGAUCUGUUGAUUCUCAUGGAAGCUUAUUGUUUAUGUUGCAACAGUUUGGUACUGGAUGUUAGACUUGUCAGAACUAAAGCAAAUCUUUAUAUCCCUAGUGACCUUUGUCAUAUUUAUGUUGGAUAUUGUGGAUCCAUAGCUGUAGUAGAGCUAAACCUCAUGGAUAUCUCUGGUCAUCUGUACUCUAUGUCAAGGAAUUGAUACUUGCCAACCGAACAGGAAUUUUGUAUGAGAUGGAUUGAAAUCUGUUGGAAUUAAACCGGAAGAGGAUCUAGUGACACGGGUGGAUUCACUUGAUCCAUGCCUAGGAACCAUUCCGGCUGGGAAUGGUUCCCAGGAAACCGAACGAGGCCUAAAGGGAAUCUGAUCCAUGGAGCUGGCAAUGUGAACAGGCAAAUCGGCCGGCCACACGGCCUGGGCUUAAUUAUUUGUUGCCGCAUCUUAGAGCAGGUGUGGCAGCUGGAGGGAGGAUGUUCAAAAGCAAAGUCAAUACUACCUUGUACUUAGUAUAUAAGGCCAAUUUUAAUGGGAGUGUUAUAGUAGUGUCAUGGACAUUAAAUUUGUUAAUAUGUAUUAAUAGUAUGAGGAGAGAAGAGUGUCAUGAAAUAUGAGAGGAGUGUCAUUACCAUGACACUCCACUGGCACAGUUUUCAAA